CCUAGCCCCGCGGCGAAGAACCGGUUGGAUUCAAAAGUCGCCGGGGAUUUUUGGGAAUCAUAUAAAUAGACACGCUCGGACAGACAGAAAGGAGUCAUUACCGAGAGGAGAUACGACGAUGUAGAGAGAUACACGAUGUAGAUGGGACCUAGGCACGGUCACCCACCUAGGUUGCCGUAUGUAUAUAUUUUGUACGUGUAGUUACUAAUAAAAGUCCAUGUGAAAUAACUAAUCUGUGACUACGUCUACGUCUACUGGUUAUCUCUGCUAUCAACGCUGCCACCUUCUACGCCGUCGAACCACGAGAACCGAAGUUCUCGACAUUUCGCAGUACAAUGAUUGGUGGAGGAUCAUGGUCGUUCUGCAUUCGCUACCUCUACCAAGCUAAUCCCCCAGCUGAAGAAGAAGAAGAAGAAGAAGAAGAAGAAGAAGAAGAGGAAGAAGACGAGAAGAGAACCUGGCCUUCCAAUCGUCCAACGGAAGAGGGAGAAGCAGACGGAGGCGAUAGAGAAGGAAAAGCUAACAGCAGAUGAGCAGAAGAAGAAGAAGGAGGAAAGAGGAAGAAGAUGCGUAAGUCCUGUUCGAACAUGCCAUCUUCGCACCCGACAACCGGAGCCUCUUGCAACCUACAAGGCAGCAGCCAUGUUGUCAUGUCAUCCAAGCUCGACAGCCUCGAUCCAGAGCCCGCGCAGAGCAAGAUCGAGGAGCAGCAGAAGAAGUAGACUAACACGUCGACGAUAGGAUAAGCUACAUCGUAAUUUCACUGUAUACAUAGCCACAAAUUCGGAAAUAAUUUAUUAACAGUAAAAUAGCUCACGAAGUGCCGAUCAGCGCGCGAGUUUUCGUAGCUAGCGUGGUAUUCGAAUAUUAUGGUAACGGCGUACGGUGACUCAAGCGUCGAAAGUAUAUAAGUAGUAGAAGCCUAUGCGAUGAGAGGGGCGAGACGCCCAGCCGCUUCAAAGUAUGACCUCGAACGUGGCCAAUAGGGUAAGCUGAAAUUAGCGUCCCUGCCAACAGAGGCAUACUACUGCACUAAACUUACCAUAGUACGUAUAAAGGUGACGAACGAGCCGAUUUCGUCACGCGUCGCGUCAUUUCCGAGUCACGAUUGCCGAUAUACCAUUGGGUCGAUACCACGACAGCAAAACCACGAAUUCAAAAUUUUUUAUAAACAAAGAGUUGGCUAUGGAUAUGUGUUUACGAUAUAGCUUAUAGCCGGUCCUAUCUGUAUUUUAUGUUUCGUCGUUUGUUUGUUUGUAUAUUGUUUCCUUCGAUUAACCGAUUACUAACGUGAUUUAAGUGGUAAGAUGUAUCCUUGUUUCGCCAUUCUUCCCUAUGCCUUUCCAUGCCGAUUCGAGUUGUGUUACCGAUGCGGUUUGUCAAAACCCCCCUGUGAUACGGAAAUGUGCGCACAUUUUCACUAGACAGCUGCAACAAAAUCCCCCUCAACUCGUUUCAAAAACGGACUUUCCAUCCCUUCUCUACCCCAAGGAUUUACCAUCGCCAUCACACGUAAACGCGGUCGGUGCCGGGCUUGUAAAAUUACAGCAUAGUGCACACCUACUAACAUGUAUUAUGACACUGUUUGAUGUUUGCAAACUUGGACUAAUGUUUUCAACUUUUAAGCUUUAAUGUUUUUUAAUGCAUAACUGUAUUUUUUUGCGAGGACACGAAUUCUGUCGAGAGAGAAGGAAGAAUUGUUGUAUGGUACACGGCGCGUAAUGAACCAGGAGCGCUCUAGCCAGACGAGGCAGUGGAACUAGUUGGCCUGUGUUCUGGCCUGGUGGUUCGUUGUUGUUUUGGUAAUGACGCGGUAUGUACGGUCUUAGAUAUAUGCGUAGCUUCACGCGUCUCCUAGCCCCGCGGCGAAGAACCGGUUGGAUUCAAAAGUCGCCGGGGAUUUUUGGGAAUCAUAUAAAUAGACACGCUCGGACAGACAGAAAGGAGUCAUUACCGAGAGGAGAUACGACGAUGUAGAGAGAUAGACGAAAACAGAGACGACGGGACCUAGGCACGGUCACCCACCUAGCUUGCCGUUCGCGUUCUCGUCGGUUCCCGUAGUUUCCCGCUUUACCUUCCCGCCAUGCGAAGUGAGAAGCGAUAAGGAAUGAUCUAGCAGCGCCAUCGUACGCAGAAAUAUGUUCACUACUGGCAAUGAGAAGGUAAGGAAUAUUUGUCAUCGAAGUGAAAUAAAUGAGUCACUGUGUUGCGGGUUCUGAACUUCUGGUUAUUUAUAACGUCUACGCACGCACACGGGGGCGCGCGCACGCACGCACACACACCCACACACAC
rnacentral:lncRNA from 1 species